rnacentral:tRNA from 1 species
AUUUUUUUAAUAUAAACAGUAUAUUUGAUUUCCAAUCAGAAAGUCUAAUAAUUUAGAAAAAAUA